rnacentral:rRNA from 1 species
AUUGAACGCUGGCGGCAUGCCUUACACAUGCAAGUCGAACGGCAGCGCGGACUUCGGUCUGGCGGCGAGUGGCGAACGGGUGAGUAAUACAUCGGAACGUACCCUGUUGUGGGGGAUAACUAGUCGAAAGAUUAGCUAAUACCGCAUACGACCUGAGGGUGAAAGUGGGGGACCGGAAACGGCCUCAUGCAGCAGGAGCGGCCGAUGUCUGAUUAGCUAGUUGGUGGGGUAAAGGCCCACCAAGGCGACGAUCAGUAGCUGGUCUGAGAGGACGAUCAGCCACACUGGGACUGAGACACGGCCCAGACUCCUACGGGAGGCAGCAGUGGGGAAUUUUGGACAAUGGGGGCAACCCUGAUCCAGCAAUGCCGCGUGUGUGAAGAAGGCCUUCGGGUUGUAAAGCACUUUUGUCCGGAAAGAAAUCGCGCUGGUUAAUACCUGGCGUGGAUGACGGUACCGGAAGAAUAAACACCGGCUAACUACGU